rnacentral:rRNA from 1 species
UACAGGGGGGGCAAGCGUUGUUCGGAAUUACUGGGCGUAAAGGGCUCGUAGGCGGCCAACUAAGUCAGACGUGAAAUCCCUCAGCUUAACUGGGGAACUGCGUCUGAUACUGGAUGGCUUGAGUUUGGGAGAGGGAUGCGGAAUUCCAGGUGUAGCGGUGAAAUGCGUAGAUAUCUGGAGGAACACCGGUGGCGAAGGCGGCUUCCUGGACCAACACUGACACUGAGGAGCGAAAGCCAGGGGAGCAAACGGG